rnacentral:rRNA from 1 species
GAGGUAGUGACAAUAAAUCACAAUGCGGAACAAUGUUUUGCAAUUGGAUUGAGAACAACGUACAAACCUUAUCGAUAAACAAUUGGAGGGCAAGUCUGGUGCCAGCAGCCGCGGUAAUUCCAGCUCCAAUAGCGUAUAUUAACGUUGUUGCAGUUAAAAAGCUCGUAGUUGAAAUGAAGGGUAGUUGUGUAAUGAAUACAUUCGUGUAUUUUGUUAUUCAAGUACCCUCCUUCUAAAUUCGAUAUAUGAGUAUUAAUUUACUUGUAUAUGGUUUUAGACAUUUACUGUGAGAAAAUUAGAGUGUUCAAAGCAGGCAUUUGCUUGAAUAUAUUAGCAUGGAAUAAUCAUGUAUGAUUUUCAUGAUGUAUUUGAUUGGUUUGGUUGAUGAGAAUAAGAUUAAAAGGGACAGUUGGGGGUAUUCAUAUUCAAUAGUCAGAGGUGAAAUUCUCGGAUUUAUGGAAGAUGAACAAGUGCGAAAGCAUUUACCAAGGAUGUUUU